ensembl:lncRNA
UAGAAUUCAGCGGGGAAGUUUGUGCCGGUCUUCACAAAGCCGAAGGAGGCUUCGGCGGAGAAACGGAGGCGACACAGCGGCGUCGCUCCGAGGAGUCGAACGGAGCAGGAAGGAAUAGACUGUAACCCCCAACGUACGGAUACCAGUCCGGAACGGAAGCCACCAGCGGCAGCUACCCAGGAAGCCAGGUCUCAGGCAGAGGCACCUGAGCAGGCAAAUUUAAUUGCGGUCAACAGGGAAGAGGAUCGUUCCGGGGCAACUCCGGAGUGUCAGGGGAGUGUUUGCGAGGAGCUGGACAAACCCCAGACUUGCCACAGAACGGAGAAUAUUGGCGACGAUCCUGAGACUAAUUUAGACCUGCCGGAACAACAGGGAGAGGGGGCAGCGUGCCGUUUACAAGAAGCCCCCUGUGAAAACCCCUCGCUGAUCGAAGCCCCUUCUGUGUUUCCCGGUGUUCCGGAUCAGAGCGCUGGCAGCUCUCCGGGCGGGAGCCUCUCGGGAGAGUUGCCCGAACGUCACCGUGAGGAGGAAUUAAACAGUGACAACCAAGCCGAGGGCCGAGGCAGAGCCGAUCACGGCGAGGCCCUGCUGUGCGCGCCCGGUGGAAGCGCAGAACAGAGUAAACCUGACGCCCCGUCGCGCGGCUGGGUUAAAGACGAAGGCAGCGGGGAAGACGUCAACGGGGAACAACAGAGCGCGACUGAAACGGAAGGUAAAACCGACACGAUGGAAAACACAACUGGAUCUUCGUUAAAAAGUACCGCCGCAGCCGAGGAGAACAACUCCCCUGCUCGGGAGCCUGCCGAAAAUCAGAGCGUUAGUCCGGUUUGCCCGGAAGCCGAGAGCGUGAGUCACCUCCCGAGCUGCGGUACCUCGCUGCCUGCGACUUCUUGCCAGGGAGACGCUGACAGGGGCAGAGAAGAGGCAGAAGAGGGGGGAAUUCCACCUCCAGGGACCAGCUCAGUGUCCGAACCCGAUUCAGCUGUCCCCAUUCCUGGGGCUUCCGUGCGGAAACAAGAAGAUCUUCCAGAGGAACGGAAAGAAAAUGGAAGCGAGAAAGCGAGACCUAGCAAAGAGCACUCGGGGCUCAGCGCAGGCGAGCCCGGUCUCGAGGGGCUCGGAGAGGAACCGCCAAGCACAGGCGUCCCCCAGGGAGAGAUCCGAAUCCUGGGGGCGGAAGGGAAGGCUGCUCCCUGCUCGCGCGCCCCCCGGCUCGGUGGGGAGAACGCCAAAGACAUGGCGCUCGCGGGAGAAACCGCGGAGCCCGUUCCCUUGGGAAGCGCUCUCCCCUCUAGCCGUGCUCCCGCGCAACCGGAGAAAGAAGGAGCGACGGCCGGCUGCGCCGAAAAACCCGACGCUAAUUCGGGUGAUGGGAAACGCCCUUCCGCAGCAGACGGGGAUUCGCCCGCAGACACGGACCCCGAGGACAAAACCUGCUCGACGGCGGGAGACGAACCGUCCCGCGAAUUAGCGUUGCUGCCUGACGGCGAUUUGCAGGCUGACCUUAAAGACAGCGGCCUCGCGAUUGCACCGCAGCAGCCAUUUUCUGCCGACAGCAAAGGUGACCCUUCUGUGCCCGAAAGGGAACCGUGCGCCGAAGGGGGACAAAGCCACUGCGAAAACGGUUUCGGUGACAAAAAGGCAGUUCUGGUCGCUGACCUACGCGGCCCAGACGAACCGUGGCCCAGCGCUGAGGUGACGGAGGGGAUUCACGAGCCCUCCCAGAAGGAAGAUGCCACGGAUGUUGUCUGCGGUCUGAUUGCUGAGCUCUCUAAUCUCAAGUAAGAACGCACCGCGCGCCGGGGAGGGAACGCGGCGCCGGCUGGCCCGGCUGCGGCCACCGAGGCAGCAGGGGAAGCAGCAUGGUCC